GACGAACGCUGGCGGCGUGCCUAAUACAUGCAAGUAGAACGCUGAAGGAGGAGCUUGCUUCUCUGGAUGAGUUGCGAACGGGUGAGUAACGCGUAGGUAACCUGCCUGGUAGCGGGGGAUAACUAUUGGAAACGAUAGCUAAUACCGCAUAAGAGUAGAUGUUGCAUGACAUUCGCUUAAAAGGUGCAAUUGCAUCACUACCAGAUGGACCUGCGUUGUAUUAGCUAGUUGGUGGGGUAACGGCCCACCAAGGCGACGAUACAUAGCCGACCGGAGAGGGUGAUCGGCCACACUGGGACUGAGACACGGCCCAGACUCCUACGGGAGGCAGCAGUAGGGAAUCUUCGGCAAUGGACGGAAGUCUGACCGAGCAACGCCGCGUGAGUGAAGAAGGUUUUCGGAUCGUAAAGCUCUGUUGUAAGAGAAGAACGGGUGUGGGAGUGGAAAGUUCACACUGUGACGGUAUCUUACCAGAAAGGGACGGCUAACUACGUG
rnacentral:rRNA from 1 species